rnacentral:rRNA from 1 species
CAGUAGCCGCGGGAAUACGAAGGGGGCUAGCGUUGUUCGGAAUUACUGGGCGUAAAGCGCACGUAGGCGGAUAUUUAAGUCAGGGGUGAAAUCCCAGAGCUCAACUCUGGAACUGCCUUUGAUACUGGGUAUCUUGAGUAUGGAAGAGGUUAGUGGAAUUGCGAGUGUAGAGGUGAAAUUCGUAGAUAUUCGCAGGAACACCAGUGGCGAAGGCGGCUAACUGGUCCAUAACUGACGCUGAGGUGCGAAAGCGUGGGGAGCAAACAGGAUUAGAUACCCCCGUAGUCCCUGUCUCUUAUAC